rnacentral:lncRNA from 1 species
ACAUAGGAUCAAAGAAAAUAGGUUUAGAGCCCGAGGCAACUGUAGAAGCCUGAAUUAAACAAGUUAUGGAGCAUUCAUGAUGUACUGCGCUAAGUUGUAGGUGUAUGAGAAAAAAGAAAAGUUGUCCUUACUGUCAAGGAGCUCACUUUCUAACGGAGUGCCCAGCAGGCACGUCAAAGAGUACAUCCCAGAUAAAUACAGCAGAGUUGGGAGGUAGCCUCAGAAAGGGAGGCAAAGCCAGUGCUCCUUCCCUCAGACUCUGGCCAUAUAUGUAGUAGGUGUCUGAGGAGGGAUGUGAACUGAGCACUUCCGCCCUCCCAAUCCAUCCCUCAAUUUACUACACUUCAUUGCCUCACAUAGAUGAUGUAUAACAGGCUGAGCCUGAGAGUCACAAUCACUAGCCAGCAGUCACUACCUCAACAGGUACAUUGAAUCUGUCCAAUGAAGUGGCAAGCUGUUUCUGGUUCAGUAUCCCAGGGACAGUUUGAGUGGGCUCUGGUGGUAAAAUGUCAGAAAAGGCAGUUUCCCAUUUCUCAGAUCGCUGCUCCCUUUUACAGGAGCAAGGAUAAUGGUUUUCAAGGAGUCUCCUCACAGGACUGAUGGGAAAAUGGGCUUAAUUCAUAGAUGGAAAUACAACACAUCAGACAAGUCAAACAGAUUCUGAUGGAGACAGACCAGGACCUUGAACCCUAAAGUCUUGGAAAUAGCAAGGCUUCCAUCCCAGACCCCCAGCUGUCAUCCUGGGAAGCAGUCUCCGUGGAGAUGCAGCCCGACUACUGCUUCAGCAGGUUGCCUCUGCUAUGCAUCUCUCUGGUCUCAUCAAAGGAAGUUUCCCGCUGCUGGACUUCUUCUCUUCAUGGACAUCUCCAGGCUAUCUUGGCUCCUGACUGGCAUAUUUCUGAGACUAUUGAGAAGUAGAGCUGCUAACGGAGAAGAGCAAGGUGUGGGAGGUGGAAGAGACCCUAUCAUUCAAGCAGAGAAAGCCAAAAUCUUCCUGCCUUGGUCAUAGAUUAUAGACCUAAGUACAAGACUUCCAGCACAACCAGUUUUCUCCAUGGCUUAUGUUUCCUUUUCUACUCAUUGAACAACAUAAACAGUAACAUAUAGAGAGAUAGAUCUAUAGCUUUAUCUAUUCAUCUCAUCUAGUCUUUAAGCGAAACAAUAGAAGAAAGUCUCGAAUGUUUCUAUUCUGGAGACACUUGCCCAAAUGUAAAGAAAACUCCAUUGAAACUGAAGUGCUUUAUAAGAAUGAAGUGGGCCAGAGACAGGAAGCAACAAUCAAACCGGUCCUUGGAGCCCUCCAUAGGCACUUUUGUUCCCAGGGAAGACGAAGCCCCUUUUGCCUUUGACUAAGGCAGCAGGGAGGUGGAGGGGAGUGCCCUCGACUCAGUGCCUUAGAAAAGAAGGAAGUGGCAAGGCUCAAGGGCACAUUGGGUUUGUGUCUUUUCAGUGUUCUAAAGAAAUCCCAC